rnacentral:rRNA from 1 species
UACGUAGGGUCCAAGCGUUGUCCGGAGUUACUGGGCGUAAAGGGUGCGUAGGCGGGUCUUUAAGUCAGGGGUGAAAUCCUGGAGCUCAACUCCAGAACUGCCUUUGAUACUGAGGAUCUUGAGUUCGGGAGAGGUGAGUGGAACUGCGAGUGUAGAGGUGAAAUUCGUAGAUAUUCGCAAGAACACCAGUGGCGAAGGCGGCUCACUGGCCCGAUACUGACGCUGAGGCACGAAAGCGUGGGAAGCAAACAGGG